AGAGUUGAUCCUGGCUCAGAUUAAACGCUGGCGGCAUGCCUUACACAUGCAAGUCGAACGGCAGCACGGGGGCAACCCUGGUGGCGAGUGGCGAACGGGUGAGUAAAGCAUCGGAACGUGCCCUGGAGUGGGGGAUAACGUAGCGAAAGUUACGCUAAUACCGCAUAUUCUGUGAGCAGGAAAGCAGGGGAUCGCAAGACCUUGCGCUCUGGGAGCGGCCGAUGUCGGAUUAGCUAGUUGGUGGGGUAAAGGCCUACCAAGGCGACGAUCCGUAGCGGGUCUGAGAGGAUGAUCCGCCACACUGGGACUGAGACACGGCCCAGACUCCUACGGGAGGCAGCAGUGGGGAAUUUUGGACAAUGGGCGGAAGCCUGAUCCAGCCAUGCCGCGUGAGUGAAGAAGGCCUUCGGGUUGUAAAGCUCUUUCGGUGGGGAAGAAAUUGCAUGGGCUAAUACCCUGUGUAGAUGACGGUACCUGGAGAAGAAGCACCGGCUAACUACGUGCCAGCAGCCGCGGUAAUACGUAGGGUGCGAGCGUUAAUCGGAAUUACUGGGCGUAAAGCGU
rnacentral:rRNA from 1 species